rnacentral:ncRNA from 17 species
UGUCUCCUCCAUCUCCUCAAAGGAUGGAUUCGGCUCCGGAUCUCACGAUCCGGGGCCGUUUUUU